rnacentral:rRNA from 1 species
GAUGAACGCUGGCGGCGUGCCUAAUACAUGCAAGUCGAGCGAACGGACGAGAAGCUUGCUUCUCUGAUGUUAGCGGCGGACGGGUGAGUAACACGUGGAUAACCUACCUAUAAGACUGGGAUAACUUCGGGAAACCGUAGCUAAUACCGGAUAAUAUUUUGAACCGCAUGGUUCAAAAGUGAAAGACGGUCUUGCUGUCACUUAUAGAUGGAUCCGCGCUGCAUUAGCUAGUUGGUAAGGUAACGGCUUACCAAGGCAACGAUGCAUAGCCGACCUGAGAGGGUGAUCGGCCACCCUGGAACUGAGACACGGUCCAGACUCCUACGGGAGGCAGCAGUAGGGAAUCUUCCGCAAUGGGCGGAAGCCUGACGGAGCAACGCCGCGUGAGUGAUGAAGGUCUUCGGAUCGUAAAACUCUGUUAUUAGGGAAGAACAUAUGUGUAAGUAACUGUGCACAUCUUGACGGUACCUAAUCAGAAAGCCACGGCUAACUACGUG